UUUAGUUGCUGGGUAUAGACCCGAAACCAGGCGAUCUAUCCAUGAGCAGGUUGAAGGUUGGGUAACACUAACUGGAGGACCGAACCCACUGUCGUUGAAAAGCCAGGGGAUGACUUGUGGAUAGGGGUGAAAGGCUAAUCAAGCCUGGUGAUAGCUGGUUCUCCCCGAAAGCUAUUUAGGUAGCGCCUCGGACGAAUACCAUAGGGGGUAGAGCACUGUUUCGGCUAGGGGGUCAUCCCGACUUACCAAACCGAUGCAAACUCCGAAUACCUAUGAGUACUAUCCGGGAGACAGACUGCGGGUGCUAACGUCCGUAGUCAAGAGGAAAACAAUCCAGACCGCCAGCUAAGGCCCCAAAAUCAUAGUUAAGUGGGAAACGAUGUGGGAAGGCAUAGACAGCUAGGAGGUUGGCUUAGAAGCAGCCACCCUUUAAAGAAAGCGUAAUAGCUCACUAGUCGAGUCGGCCUGCGCGGAAGAUGUAACGGGGCUAAAACUAUGUGCCGAAGCUGCGGAUUUGACAUUAGUCAAGUGGUAGGGGAGCGUUCUGUAAGCCGAUGAAGGUGUAUUGAGAAGUAUGCUGGAGGUAUCAGAAGUGCGAAUGCUGACGUGAGUAACGACAAAACGGGUGAAAAACCCGUUCGCCGAAAGACCAAGGGUUCCAGUCCAACGUUAAUCGGGGCUGGGUGAGUCGACCCCUAAGGCGAGGCCGAAAGGCGUAGUCGAUGGGAAAUUGGUUAAUAUUCCAAUACUUCUGUGUAAUGCGAUGAGAGGACGGAGAAGGUUAAGUCAGCCUGGCGUUGGUUGUCCAGGUGGAAGGAUGUAGGUAUGUAUCUUAGGCAAAUCCGGGGUACUCUAUACUGAGAUCCGAUAGCAAGCUGUACUUGUACAGUGAAGUGGCUGAUACCAUGCUUCCAGGAAAAGUCUCUAAGCUUCAGUUACACAGGAAUCGUACCCGAAACCGACACAGGUGGUCAGGUCGAGUAGACCAAGGCGCUUGAGAGAACUCUGCUGAAGGAACUAGGCAAAAUGGUACCGUAACUUCGGGAGAAGGUACGCUGUUGUUGGUGAUGGAACUUGCUUCCUGAGCUGACGACAGCCGCAGAAACCAGGCCGCUGCAACUGUUUAUUAAAAACAUAGCACUCUGCAAACACGAAAGUGGACGUAUAGGGUGUGAUGCCUGCCCGGUGCUGGAAGGUUAAUUGAUGGGGUUAGCGUAAGCGAAGCUCUUGAUCGAAGCCCCAGUAAACGGCGGCCGUAACUAUAACGGUCCUAAGGUAGCGAAAUUCCUUGUCGGGUAAGUUCCGACCUGCACGAAUGGCAUAAUGAUGGCGGCGCUGUCUCCAGCAGAGGCUCAGUGAAAUCGAAAUCGCUGUGAAGAUGCAGUGUACCCGCGGCUAGACGGAAAGACCCCGUGAACCUUUACUGCAGCUUGACACUGAACUUUGACCUUACUUGUGUAGGAUAGGUGGGAGGCUUUGAAGUUGGAACGCUAGUUCCAAUGGAGCCGUCCUUGAAAUACCACCCUGGUAAUGUUGAGGUUCUAACUCUGUCCCGUUAUCCGGGACGAGGACCGUGUCUGGUGGGUAGUUUGACUGGGGCGGUCUCCUCCUAAAGAGUAACGGAGGAGUACGAAGGUGCGCUCAGCGUGGUCGGAAAUCACGCGUAGAGUAUAAAGGCAAAAGCGCGCUUAACUGCGAGACCCACAAGUCGAGCAGGUACGAAAGUAGGUCUUAGUGAUCCGGUGGUUCUGUAUGGAAGGGCCAUCGCUCAACGGAUAAAAGGUACUCUGGGGAUAACAGGCUGAUACCGCCCAAGAGUUCAUAUCGACGGCGGUGUUUGGCACCUCGAUGUCGGCUCAUCUCAUCCUGGGGCUGAAGCAGGUCCCAAGGGUAUGGCUGUUCGCCAUUUAAAGAGGUACGCGAGCUGGGUUUAGAACGUCGUGAGACAGUUCGGUCCCUAUCUACCGUGGGCGCUGGAAAUUUGAGAGGAUCUGCUCCUAGUACGAGAGGACCAGAGUGGACGAACCUCUGGUGUACCGGUUGUGACGCCAGUCGCAUCGCCGGGUAGCUAUGUUCGGAAGGGAUAACCGCUGAAAGCAUCUAAGCGGGAAGCCUACCUCAAGAUAAGAUUUCCCUAGGAAUUUAUUCCUCUAAAGAGCCGUUCGAGACUAGGACGUUGAUAGGUUGGAUGUGGAAGCAUAGUGAUAUGUGAAGCUGACCAAUACUAAUUGCUCGUGAGGCUUGACUAU
rnacentral:rRNA from 1 species